UUUUAAUAAAAAAGUUAAAUAAAAAAUUAAAUGAUUAAUCAUUAAAUUAAAAAGAUUUGGCGGUAUUUUAAUUUAAUUAGAGGAACUUGUGGUUUUAAAAUGAUAGUCCACGAUAAGAUAUACUUUGAUUUAAAAUUUAUGUAUUGCUGUUUUAAGAAAAAUAUUAAGUUAUUAUUUAUAAAAUUUUUUUGAAUUUUAAUUCAGGUCAAAAUGUAGUUUAUUAGAGAAAUAAUGAGUUACAAUUUAUUUUUAAUUGGAUUAAAAAAUUUAAUUUAUUUUUUUUUAUGAAAGUGGAUUUAAUAGUAAGUUUUUAUAAAUUUUAAAAUUUGAAAAUUAUUUUAAAUAUGU
rnacentral:rRNA from 1 species